GAUGAACGCUGACAGCAUGCUUAACACAUGCAAGUCAACCUGUGGCGGACGGGUGAGUAACGCGUAAACAACUUGCCUCCCAGAUAGGGACCACAUUUGGAAACGAAUGCUAAUACCUGAAACUGUGAGAGGGCUUUGGGUCCCAUUAUCUAGUGGGAGAGGUAACGGCUCACCCAGGAGAGGAUGGGGAGCCGGCCUGGGAGGCUGAUCGGCCACAAGGGGUCUGGGACACGGCCCUGGCGCAUACGGCGGGCAGCAGUGGGGAAUAUUGGACAAUGGACCAAAGUCUGAGCCAGCAAUUCUGUGGGCACGAUGAAGUUUUCGGAAUGUAAAGUGCUUUCAGUUUAGAAGCGGUACCGACAGAAGAAGUGACGGCUAAAUACGUGCCAGCAGCCGCGGUAAUAC
rnacentral:rRNA from 1 species